rnacentral:rRNA from 1 species
AAUUUUGCGCAAUGGGCGAAAGCCUGACGCAGCCAUGCCGCGUGUAUGAUGAAGGUCUUAGGAUUGUAAAAUUCUUUCACCGGGGACGAUAAUGACGGUACCCGGAGAAGAAGUCCCGGCUAACUUCGUGCCAGCAGUCGUGGUAAUUCGAAGGGGGCUAGCGUUGCUCGGAAUUACUGGGCGUAAAGGGUGCGUAGGCGGAUCGUUAAGUCAGGGGUGCAAUCCCGGGGCUCAACCUCGGAACUGCCCUUGAUACUGGCGAUCUUGAGUAUGGGAGAGGUAUGUGGAACUCCGAGUGUAGAGGUGAAAUUCAUAGAUAUUCGGAAGAACACCAGUGGCGAAGGCGACAUACUGGCUCAUUACUGACGCUGAGGCGCGAAAGCGUGGGGAGCAAACA